UCCUGCCCAAUGAUUAUUUAAAUGGCUGCAGUAUUUUGACUGUGCAAAGGUAGCAUAAUAAUUAGUCUUUUAAUUGUGGACUUGUAUGAAUGGAUUAAUGAGAAAUUAAUUUUAUUAUUAUUAUUUUUGGAAUUUAAUUUUUAAGUAAAAAAGCUUAAUUUUUUUUUCGGGACGAGAAGACCCUAUAGAACUUGAAUUUUUAUAUAAUUUAUUUAUUUUAGUUAAUUUAAUUUUUUUUAAUUAUUUAAAUUUUUUUGUUGGGGUGAUAAAUAAAUAAAAAUCUUUAUUUUAUUAUAACAUUAAUUUAUGUUUAUUUGAUCCAUUUAUGAUUAAAAGAAAAAGUUACCUUAGGGAUAACAGCGUAAUUUUAAUGGGGAGUUCUUAUUUAUAUUGAAGUUUGCGACCUCGAUGUUGAAUUAAGAUAAGAUUAGGGGGUAG
rnacentral:rRNA from 1 species